AGAGAGUCAGCCAGGCAGUCACACAGCCAGUCAGCCAGGCAGCCAGGCAGGAAGCCAGAGAGUCAGCCAGGCAGUAAAGAGCAGCAUUAAGAUGAAUAGUACACAGCUGUUUUCCUUGACCACCAACUUCAAACACAGAGCAGUUUUUUUCCCCAAAUAAAAGGUUUGGUCAAGCAGAUCUCCCCGGUCUGUCGGUCGGCAGGAACUCUUUAAGCAUUUGGUAAAAUGUUUACACUUGAUUUAAUGGGGGACUUUUAAUCAAAAUCCCCCCCUCCCCUUAACCCCAGACAUGCCACAAGUCAAAUGUGUGUGGGUGGCACAUGCUAUUCUGUUGGCAUGGCGAUGUGUUUGAUGUUUGUAGAAAAAAGCUUUUAGGUUUUCUGGACUUUUUUCUGCUGUCAGCUUUGGUCACUGUGAAUAAAAGCAGCAUUUAUACCUGAACUCUCCGGGGACUGAGGCUUAGAGAGGAGAGAGUUUGAGACUGAGGGUUAGAGAGGAGAGAGGUUGAGACUGAGGGUUAGAGAGAGUAGAGAGUUUGAGACUGAGGGUUAGAGAGAGGAGAGAGGUUGAGACAGGGUUAGAGAGGAGAGAGGUUGAGACUGAUGGUUAGAGAGUAGAGAGUUUGAGACUGAGGGUUAGAGAGGAGAGAGGUUGAGACUGAGGGUUAGAGAGGAGAGAGGUUGAGACUGAGGGAUAGAGAGGAGAGAGGUUGAGACUGAGGGUUAGAGAGAGGAGAGGUUGAGACUGAGGGUUAGAGAGAGAGGGGAGAGUUUGAGACUGAGGGUUAGAGAGGAGAGAGGUUGAGACUGAGGGUUAGAGAGGAGAGAGGUUGAGACUGAUGGUUAGAGAGAGGAGAGGUUGAGACUGAGGGUUAGAGGGAGGAGAGGUUGAGACUGAGGGUUAGAGAGAGAGGGGAGAGUUUGAGACUGAGGGUUAGAGAGGAGAGAGGUUGAGACUGAGGGUUAGAGAGGAGAGAGGUUGAGACUGAUGGUUAGAGAGAGGAGAGAGGUUGAGACUGAGGGUUAUAGAGAGAGAGGAGAGAGGUUGAGACUGAGGGUUAGAGAGAGGAGAGAGGUUGAGACUGAGGGUUAGAGAGAGGAGAGAGUUUGAGACUGAGGGUUAGAGAGAGGAGAGAGGUUGAGACUGAGGGUUAGAGAGAGGAGAGAGGUUGAGACUGAGGGUUAGAGAGAGGAGAGAGUUUGAGACUGAGGGUUAGAGAGAGGAGAGAGGUUGAGACUGAGGGUUAGAGAGAGGAGAGAGGUUGAGACUGAGGGUUAGAGAGAGGAGAGAGGUUGAGACUGAGGGAUAGAGAGGAGAGAGGUUGAGACUGAGGGUUAGAGAGAGGAGAGAGGUUGAGACUGAGGGAUAGAGAGAGGAGAGAGGUUGAGACUGAGGGAUAGAGAGGAGAGAGGUUGAGACUGAGGGUUAGAGAGAGGAGAGAGGUUGAGACUGAGGGUUAGAGAGGAGAGAGGUUGAGACUGAGGGUUAGAGAGAGUAGAGAGGUUGAGACUGAGGGAUAGAGAGAGGAGAGAGGUUGAGACUGAGGGAUAGAGAGGAGAGAGGUUGAGACUGAGGGUUAGAGAGAGGAGAGAGGUUGAGACUGAGGGAUAGAGAGAGGAGAGAGUUUGAGACUGAGGGUUAGAGAGGAGAGAGGUUGAGACAGGGUUAGAGAGAGGAGAGAGGUUGAGACUGAGGGUUAGAGAGGAAAGAGGUUGAGACUGAGGGUUAGAGAGAGACUGAGACUGAUAGUUAGAGAGGAGAGAGGUUGAGAAUGAGGGUUAGAGAGAGGAGAGAGGUUGAGACUGAGGGUUAGAGAGGAGAGAGGUUGAGACUGAGGGUUAGAGGGAGGAGAGAGUUUGAGACUGAUAGUUAGAGAGGAGAGAGGUUGAGACUGAGGAUUAGAGAGUAGAGAGUUUGAGACUGAUGGUUAGAGAGAGGAGAGAGGUUGAGACUGAGGGUUAGAGAGAGGAGAGAGGUUGAGACUGAGGAUUAGAGAGUAGAGAGUUUGAGACUGAUGGUUAGAGAGAGGAGAGAGGUUGAGACUGAGGGUUAGAGAGAGAGGAGAGAGGUUGAGACUGAGGGUUAGAGAGAGGGGAGAGGUUGAGACUGAGGGUUAGAGAGAGGAGAGAGGUUGAGACUGAGGAUUAGAGAGUAGAGAGUUUGAGACUGAUGGUUAGAGAGAGGAGAGAGGUUGAGACUGAGGGUUAGAGAGAGAGGAGAGAGGUUGAGACAGGGUUAGAGAGAGGAGAGAGGUUGAGACUGAUAGUUAGAGAGGUUGAGACUGAGGAUUAGAGAGUAGAGAGUUUGAGACUGAUGGUUAGAGAGAGGAGAGAGGUUGAGACUGAGGGUUAGAGAGAGAGGAGAGAGGUUGAGUCUGAGGGUUAGAGAGAGGGGAGAGGUUGAGACUGAGGGUUAGACAGCAGAGAGGUUGAGACUGAGGGUUAGAGAGAGAGGAGAGAGGUUGAGACUGAGGGUUAGAGAGAGGAGAGAGGUUGAGACUGAGGGUUAGAGAGGAGAGAGGUUGAGACUGAGGGUUAGAGAGAGUAGAGAGGUUGAGACUGAUGGUUAGAGAGAGAGGGGAGAGGUUGAGAGAAGAGAGGUUGAGAGGAGAGAGGGCAGAUCUCAAGAGAAGAGGCUGGUGGUCGCUGAGGGUCUGUGGGGUAGAGCCACAAGACUAGGUUCAAAAACGAUUUGAAAUAUUUCAAAUACUUUUAGCUGUGCUUGAUUGAGCCUGCCUAGCUCAAUGGACCAAUAGAAUAGUCCCACAAAUGCAUGCCACGCCCACAUGGCACUCCAGGCAGGCUGUAGCAAACACUGAAAGUAUUUGAAAGAUUUCAAAUAGUAUUUUACACAGGUCUGGUCUGAGGUAGCUAGCCCACCUUCCAUACCAUACAUCCCUCAGGGUC
rnacentral:lncRNA from 1 species